AUGGGAUGGAGCUGUACCAUUCUCUUCCUUGUGUCAGUAAUGACAGGGGUCCACCCCCAGGUACAGCUGCAUCAGUCAGGACCUGAACUGGGGAAACCUGGGACGUCAGUGAAGUUAUCUUGCAAGGCUUCAGGCUACACUUAUACUAGUUAUGUUAUUAUCUGGGUGAAGCAGAGUCCUGGUCAGAGCCUGGAGUGGAUUGGAGCUAUUAAUCCUGGUUAUGGUGUUACUGACUAUGCACAGAAGUUCCAGGGCAAGGCCAAACUGACUGCAGACACAUCCUCCAGCACAGCCUACAUGAAGCUCAGCAGCCUGACAUCUGAGGACUCUGCCAUCUAUUACUGUGCCGGACACAGUGGUAUAACCACAUCCUGA